GUUAUAUGCUGAAGGGGCGUUUACGAUGAGGUACUUGAUUUUCUCCGUCCUCGACUCAGCCUCAUCUGUAAACGUGGUUCUCAGCUCAAUGUACCCCCUGACCUCCACCUGGUCGCCAGCGAACCCAUAUAAGCACCCUCCAUAGGGCCUUAGCUGGUCAAGGGGCAACUCCAGCUGCGUGAAAGUCGGCCAGAACAUCACGUCUGCCGAGCUUCCUUGGUCCACCAGGACUCUGUGGACCUUCCUCUCUGCUGUUACCAACGAAAUAACUAUGGGAUCGUUGUCAUGAGGCACAACGUCCCGAAGAUCCUGCUUUGUGAACGUAAUGUCCACUUCCGGCGAGUGAUCUUCAAACAUGUCC
rnacentral:lncRNA from 1 species